AGUGAACGCUGGCGGUAGGCCUAACACAUGCAAGUCGAACGGCAGCACAGUAAGAGCUUGCUCUUACGGGUGGCGAGUGGCGGACGGGUGAGGAAUGCAUCGGAAUCUACUUUUUCGUGGGGGAUAACGUAGGAAAACUUACGCUAAUACCGCAUACGACCUACGGGAGAGAGCAGGGGAUCUUCGGACUUUGCGCGAUUGAAUGAGCCGAUGUCGGAUUAGCUAGUUGGCGGGGUAAAGGCCCACCAAGGCGACGAUCCGUAGCUGGUCUGAGAGGAUGAUCAGCCACACUGGAACUGAGACACGGUCCAGACUCCUACGGGAGGCAGCAGUAGGGAAUAUUGGACAAUGGGCGCAAGCCUGAUCCAGCCAUGCCGCGUGAGUGAAGAAGGCCUUCGGGUUGUAAAGCCCUUUUGUUGGGAAAGAAAAGCAGCAGGUUAAUACCCCGCUGUUCUGACGGUACCCAAAGAAUAAGCACCGGCUAACUUCGUG
rnacentral:rRNA from 1 species